GCGCCAAGUAGAGGUGCGUCCUGGAUGAGUCGCCGGGGGGAAGGUGAUGCUGUGGAUCCCCGGUAAAAGGCCAGUGCGCCGAAGUGAAGCCGACAUCAAGCGGUUUUGCUGGUGUCGUGGGCGAAAGUCGCGGCACUGCCAUAGUCCUAAACACUAUGGAGCGCUACCGAAGGC
rnacentral:ncRNA from 2 species